rnacentral:rRNA from 1 species
UACGGUAGGGUGCGAGCGUUGUCCGGAAUUAUUGGGCGUAAAGCGCGUGUAGGCGGCUUUGCAAGUCGGGUGUGAAAGCCCUCAGCUUAACUGAGGAAGUGCGCCCGAAACUGCUUGGCUUGAGUACCGGAGAGGAUGGCGGAAUUCCCCAAGUAGAGGUGAAAUUCGUAGAUAUGGGGAGGAACACCGGUGGCGAAGGCGGCCAUCUGGACGGAUACUGACGCUGAGACGCGAAAGCGUGGGUAGCAAACAGG